rnacentral:piRNA from 1 species
UAGAAAGAUAAUGCUUUUCUGUUGCUA